AGAGUUUGAUCCUGGCUCAGGAUGAACGCUAGCGGUGUGCCUAAGAUAUGCAAGUCGAGCGGUCCCGCAUUCUGCGGGAUAGCGGCGGACGGCUGAGUAACACGUCCGAACUUACCUUCAUCUGGAGGAUAACCUGUCGAAAGAUGGGCUAAUACUCCAUGGUCCCUAAACUGAUCUUUAAUCUAGUUUAGGGUAAAGGCUGUAACUGGCCGGAUGGAGAAAGGCGGGCGGACUAUCAGGUAGUUGGUAGGGUAAUGGCCUACCAAGCCUAUGACGGUUAGCUGAUCUUAUGAGGAUGGUCAGCCAGAGGAGCACUGAGACACGGGCUCCACGUCUACGGACGGCAGCAAUUAGGAAUAGUUGGCAAUGGGCGAAAGCCUGACCACGCGACACCGCGUGCGGGAAGAAGCUCUUCGGAGUGUAAACCGCUGUGGUAGAGGAAGAAGUCCCGCAAAAUGCGGGAUUGACGGUACUCUACUAGAAAGGGAUCGCUAACUGCGUGCCAGCAGCGGCGGUAAUACGUGGAUCCCAAGCGUUAUCCGGUGUUACUGGGCGUAAAGCGUGUGUAGGCGGUUUUUUAGGUUGGUUCUAAAAUCCUCCUGCUCAACAGAAGGACCGGAACCAAUACCAAAAAACUUUGAACUUUCUUUAAGGAAACUG
rnacentral:rRNA from 1 species